rnacentral:tRNA from 1 species
UGGAUCACCUCCUAACAGGGAGACAACAAAAUGUUUAAUAUUAUUAUUUUGUCACCUUAGGUCGAUCGGUAUCUCACGUUUUUAAUUUAUUAAAAAUUUCAUUUCCUAAGUUUUUCUAGGUCACACCCAUUAUUUUUCCUGGGCCAUUAGCUCAGGUGGUUAGAGCGCACCCCUGAUAAGGGUGAGGUCCCUGGUUCAAGUCCAGGAUGGCCCAUAUCUCUAUGUUGGGGGUAUAGCUCAGUUGGUAGAGCGCCUGCUUUGCAAGCAGGAUGUCAGCGGUUCGAGUCCGCUUACCUCCACUGAUCACCACCUCUUCCAUAAUCGGUAGAAAGGAAAUUUUUUGAGUUGUGAUCAAAAUCUGAAAGAAUCUAGCUUCCUAAUGAAAUCAUUAAGAUGCUGGACUCAUUGAAUUAAUUUCAUUGUUUUCAGAGAACCUUGACAACUGCAUAGAUUAUUUUUAAAGACAAUAAGCAUCUUUAAUGAUGCAGAUUUAUUAUUUGUGCAAAUGCAUUAAUAACAAUUCUAUUAAGCUGAUGCUUCAAUAUUUGAAGUUAUUGGUCAAGCUACAAAGGGCUCACGGAGGAUACCUAGGCACACAGAGGCGAUGAAGG